UACGUAGGGUGCAAGCGUUAAUCGGAAUUACUGGGCGUAAAGCGUGCGCAGGCGGUUUUGUAAGACUGUCGUGAAAUCCCCGGGCUUAACCUGGGAAUGGCGAUGGUGACUGCAAGGCUAGAGUUUGGCAGAGGGGGGUAGAAUUCCACGUGUAGCAGUGAAAUGCGUAGAGAUGUGGAGGAACACCGAUGGCGAAGGCAGCCCCCUGGGUCAAGACUGACGCUCAUGCACGAAAGCGUGGGGAGCAAGCAGG
rnacentral:rRNA from 1 species